rnacentral:rRNA from 1 species
CAGCAGUCGCCGCGGGAAUACGAAGGGGGCUAGCGUUGUUCGGAUUUACUGGGCGUAAAGCGCACGUAGGCGGAUCGAUCAGUCAGGGGUGAAAUCCCAGAGCUCAACUCUGGAACUGCCUUUGAUACUGUCGAUCUGGAGUAUGGAAGAGGUGAGUGGAAUUCCGAGUGUAGAGGUGAAAUUCGUAGAUAUUCGGAGGAACACCAGUGGCGAAGGCGGCUCACUGGUCCAUUACUGACGCUGAGGUGCGAAAGCGUGGGGAGCAAACAGGAUUAGAUACCCGCGUAGUCCCUGUCUCUUAUAC